UACGAAGGGGGCUAGCGUUGCUCGGAAUUACUGGGCGUAAAGCGCACGUAGGCGGCUUCUUAAGUCGGUGGUGAAAUCCUGGAGCUCAACUCCAGAACUGCCUUCGAUGCUGGGAAGCUCGAGUCCGGGAGAGGGUCGUGGAAUUCCCAGUGUAGAGGUGAAAUUCGUAGAUAUUGGGAAGAACACCGGUGGCGAAGGCGGCGACCUGGUCCGAUACUGACGCUGAGGCGCGAAAGCGUGGGGAGCAAACAGG
rnacentral:rRNA from 1 species